rnacentral:tRNA from 1 species
GGAGAGGUGUCCGAGUGGCUUAAGGAGCCCGUCUUGAAAACGGGUGAGCCGAUGAGGCCCGCGGGUUCGAAUCCCGCCCUCUCCGCAA